rnacentral:rRNA from 1 species
UACGUAGGGUGCGAGCGUUUGUCCGGAAUUAUUGGGCGUAAAGGGCUCGUAGGCGGUUUGUCGCGUCGGGAGUGAAAUCCACUGGCUUAACUGGUGGCUUGCUUUCGAUACGGGCAGACUGGAGGUAUGCAGGGGAGAACGGAAUUCCUGGUGUAGCGGUGAAAUGCGCAGAUAUCAGGAGGAACACCUGUGGUGUAGACAGCUUGCUGGACCAUAACUGACGCUGAGGCACGAAAGCGUGGGUAGCAAACAGG